AUGGCGAAGGCAGCUCCAGGCGUGGACGACGGAGGCGGGUCUGGCGGCCGGCUGCGGCGAGUAAGGACAGCACGGGGCCGUGAGCCCAGGCGGCUCGGAAGCGGCCCGGCCGCUCAAGGUGGAGCAGCACAAGGCAGAUUCCUAGAAGCAGAGACCCGUGCCCACUUCCCAGUCAUGGUUUUCCUUGCCUCAAACUUUUUUCUUUCACGGGCCAGACUGCACUUUUGCGAAAAAAUAGUGCUACUCCAGAAUAGAAAAUACACCUGGAGUAAUGAGCAAAGCAACCCGACAAUGUUCAAACUAGAUGAGUUUUUUUGUAAUGAGGAAUGGGAUAUCACUUUCGAUAAACACAUCCUUCACGCCCUGUCAUCCUCAUUUUCGGAUCACUACCCUCUACUCCUCGCCAAUGAAGAUGGGCCUCGGCAGCCGCGGACUUUCAGAUUUGAAAUUUUUUGGACCAACAUGCCAGGCUUUCAGCAGGUCGUCCAGGAUGCGUGGAAUGAGACAUCCGCAGACAAUGAGCCAUACCAAAGACUGUUUCACAAGCUAAAAAAGACAAGUCAGAAGCUUCGCUCCUGGAACAAAAGCCUUUUCUCUAAUGCCAAAGUCCAGCUACAUAUGGCUCUGGAGGAGGAUGUCCAAUACCUUACCAACAUACUUUCCUCCUUUGGUGAAUCUACUGGCCUCUCCACAAACUGCACCAAAAGUUCCGUGGUACCCAUCAGAUGUGCCAAUGUGGACCUAGAUGAUGUUCUCCAGUCUUUCCCGGCUUGCCGCGCCUCCUUCCCGAUCCGCUAUCUUGGGCUCCCCCUCGCGGUCAAAAGAUUAAAGAGGGUGCAUCUCCAACCUUUGGAAGACAAGGCUGUGGGUAAAUUGGCACCUUGGAGAGGAAGGCACGUUGCUAUUGCGGGUCGCAUGACCUUGGUGAAGGCAGUCCUUACGGCGGUGGCCAUUUAUCACAUCACGCCGCUCGACAUCCCGGUGGAGGUUAUAAAAGCGAUUGACAAGUUGCGGCGUGCCUACCUCUGGGCGGGAUCUGACUCGGUUAGUGGCGGCAAGUGCAAGAUUAAUUGGGAGCAUGUCUGCAAGCCAAAGGAGUAUGGGGGCCUUGGCAUUUUGCACCUUCGCAAAUUUGCUGCCGCCCUCUGGCUGAUGUGGCUAUGGCUUGAGUGGAAUGACCCACCUCGUGCGUGGUGUGGAUUGGGGACGCCUUGCAUGACUUCCGACCGCGACCUUUUCGCGGUCUUGACCGAGGGCGUUAGGCCCAAAGAUAUUGCGCCAAAGAUUUUGGAUAUUUCACGCAAGAAAGGUGUUACGGUUGCCACGGCCUUAAGGGAUGGGCACUGGAUAGCACAAAUCAACAUUGACGCUGGCCUCACUCUAGAACACCUUCAACAAUUCUUGGCCCUUUGGGAGAAGCUAGCGACUGUGGCCAUUCAGCCGGGUGUCCAGGACUCCAUAUUGUGGAAGUCAACCAAUGAUGGGCAGUACUCUGCAAAGUCUGCUUAUUUGGCGCAGUUUCAUGACCUCCCGCUCUCAAUGAAAUCUUGGUGGGAUGCGGUUCUCUCUGAUAAUACACUCCCGAUGAAGGCCCUAUCUUCCCUGUUACUUCUUAUGGGAUGGAAGAUAUGGAAUGAAAGGAAUGCUCGUGUCUUCAGGAGCAAAGCGGCGCCGGUGGCGAUUGUCAUGCGACGCAUCAAAGAUGAAGUUUUGAUUUGGGCCACUGCAGGCGCUAAGCAUUUGCGUAAUGUAAUACCGCGAGAGUAA
rnacentral:rRNA from 1 species